AUGUUAGUGAUAUUGCCUCCAUUCAUGAUUUUUCACAUUCCCAUGCAUCAUGAUAUAUAUGCCUUGUGUGUUGCAUCCAAUUCUUGGAUUACUUGCUCCUCUCAUAUGUUUGGUUGCAACAAUGUCAUCACUUCACAUAUGCCAUGUCCCAUUGAUUGCUACAUGCUUGCCUUGAUUGCCUCACAAAUGAUGAACAAUUGCUCUUUCCAUUGUGUUGAGUGCCACACGAUAUUCACUACACCAUAUGAACGUUAUGCUUGGAUUGUCUUGCACUUGACCCAUAUGUUUAGACACUUCACUUUAUUUGGUAUUGUGAAUGCUUCUUAUGCAUACCAUCGACCUUUCAUUGAGAACUUUGCCCAUGCUUUCUAUAACCUUGAGGUUGAUGCUUAUUCUCGUGUCACACAUAUUUGCAUCACUACCUCACAUUUACAUGCUUGUCCCCAUCAUAUAUUUGCUUAUGCUCAAUUUAUGUGCUUACAUGCCAUGUCACUAUCCUUUGCCAAACCAUACGCUUUGCAUGAUGACGACACUUGUUUAGUGAAUCACCUCUUGAAUGCUUGGUUUUGCACUAACGCUAACCACAUUUAUUUUCCAAGUGUUUGUUGUCCUUACUCCUUUUGA
rnacentral:rRNA from 1 species